rnacentral:rRNA from 1 species
UACGUAGGGGGCAAGCGUUGUCCGGAAUCAUUGGGCGUAAAGAGCGUGUAGGCGGUCCGGUAAGUCGGCUGUGAAAGUCCAGGGCUCAACCCUGGGAUGCCGGUCGAUACUGCCGGACUAGAGUUCGGAAGAGGCGAGUGGAAUUCCCGGUGUAGCGGUGAAAUGCGCAGAUAUCAGGAGGAACACCUAUUGCGAAGGCAGCUCGCUGGGACGUUACUGACGCUGAGACGCGAAAGCGUGGGGAGCAAACAGG